rnacentral:rRNA from 1 species
AGCGAACGCUGGCGGCAGGCCUAACACAUGCAAGUCGAACGAACUCUUCGGAGUUAGUGGCGGACGGGUGAGUAACACGUGGGAACGUGCCUUUUGGUUCGGAAUAACUCAGGGAAACUUGUGCUAAUACCGAAUGUGCCCUUCGGGGGAAAGAUUUAUCGCCAUUAGAGCGGCCCGCGUCUGAUUAGCUAGUUGGUGAGGUAACGGCUCACCAAGGCGACGAUCAGUAGCUGGACUGAGAGGAUGACCAGCCACACUGGGACUGAGACACGGCCCAGACUCCUACGGGAGGCAGCAGUGGGGAAUCUUGCGCAAUGGGCGAAAGCCUGACGCAGCCAUGCCGCGUGAAUGAUGAAGGUCUUAGGAUUGUAAAAUUCUUUCACCGGGGACGAUAAUGACGGUACCCGGAGAAGAAGCCCCGGCUAACUUCGUG